UCCAUGGAGGAUUAGUGGUUAAGCCUUGGUGCUCUUGACGCCACAGCCCGGGUUUGAUUCCCGGCUAGGGAG